rnacentral:rRNA from 1 species
AGGACGAACGCUGGCGGCGUGCUUAACACAUGCAAGUGGAGCGACGAACCGGGGCUUGCCCCGGGGCAGAGCCGCGAACGGGUGAGUAACACGUGGGUUACCUGCCUUGAUGACCGGGACAACCCGAGGAAACUCGGGCUAAUACCGGAUGUGCCCGCAAGGGGAAAGGAAGCUUCGGCCUCCGCAUCAAGAUGGGCCCGCGGCCCAUUAGCUUGUUGGUGAGGUAACGGCUCACCAAGGCUUCGAUGGUAGCUGGUCUGAGAGGACGAUCAGCCACACUGGGACUGAGACACGGCCCAGACUCCUACGGGAGGCAGCAGUGGGAAUCUUGCGCAAUGCGCGAAAGCGUGACGCAGCAACGCCGCGUGGGGAAGAAGGCUUUCGGUGUAACCCUUCAGUUGGGACGAAGCUUCUCCGGUGAAUAGCCGGACGGAGUGACGGUACCUUCACAAGAAGCACCGGCUAACUACGUGCCAGCAGCCGCGGUAA